UAAGACAUAUUGACAUGACAUUCUACACAUAAUUCACCAGAAAUUCUCCGGAGUCUCAGCCCCUCCACGUCAUCACGGUACUGUAGCAGCCAAAAAAAAGAUAAAUGUUUCGCAGGUAAAAAAAGGGAGACGGCCGUCUUCACCUUGCGUCCUCCACCUUGUUUCUCUCCGCCCUCCUCCCUCCCAGAUUUCCGUCGGCUUGCCACUGAUUUCGUUCUCCUUGUUUCCUCUGUAUGACGCUUUCCUCUUGGUCACCUCUGAUGCCAUUGGUGCCCUGAUUUUGGUUCCUACCUUCGGUGCCUCGGGUCUCGCGGUGCCGUCAGCCUGACUGUCGCUUGCAGCUUCCAUAGGUGGGCUCGUCGGACGGAUUGCGCCGCCGUCUUCCGCCAGGCCGGUUCUUGGGUGCCUGCGGCCCGGCGUGCCUGCCGUCGUUGCCUGGCCGUUGCUUGCGGCCUCCGUGGGUGGGCUCACCAGACGGAUUGCGCUGCCGUGUUCCGUUGUUCCAGUUCCCGGGUCGUGCUGGCCCGGCGUGCGUACUGUUGUGCGCUGUGUUCCGUCCUCGUACGCGGUGGUGCGGCCAAUGACCAGGUUCCUGUUCUUUCUGCUGGAUCGAUCUCUUCGUCUAUUUCUUUCUGGUUUGUGCUCUGCUUCUUCCUAAAUUUCUGCUUGUUGUGUGAAAUUGAUUUCGGAUCUAUUUGUAUACAAUGCUUACACAGAUCACGCGUGUUUAUUGCUCGUGCCUGUGCGUUUGGAUGUACUGUGUCAACAAACUGGUUGUUGGAUGAUUGAAUUUGGGGUACCCUGUUAUUUUGAUGCCAUAGUAAUAUAUGUGGAUGCUACGGGCAAAUGAGUAUGGGCUAAAGAUAAGGCAGUCCUAUGUUCAUAUGAGGCUUAAAAAAAUUCUAUUUUCGAUAAAAACCUUUGACUUAUUCUUCCUUCCCUUGUUCAGCCUAUGAUGAGAAAUUUAUACCCAUUGCCAACGACAUGAUCUGAUAUCUAUUCGCUUGUGAGGGACUAGGCAUGUACUAAGCAUGUCUUGAGGCUCCAAGUUGGUAAACAAAUGAUGAAUGGUAUGUUUUUUAGGCUUCAAAAAAAAACCUAUCUUCAAUGAAAAUUUUUGAUUUAUUCUUCCUUCCCUUCUUCAACCUAUGAUGAAAAAUUUGUACCCAUUGCUAAAGGAUAUGAUCUUAUGUCCAUUCGCUUGUGAGGUACUAGGCAUGUCUUCAGGCUCCAAGUUGCUUAACAGAUGAUGAAUGGUAUGUUUCUGAGGCUUAAAAAAAUCCUAUUUUCAAUGAAAAUUAAAAGAUAACUUUUGCGCUGCAGUAACAGAAAAUUUACAUACGUAUACUUUUACCAAAUGUAUCUGCAUGGUGUUCAAGUGGAAGGCAGAGUAUUUCGAUGUCAACAAUUCGGUUGUAGGCUCAAAUGGACUAAACCAAAUAUCGGGUAUGAAAGAUAAAACAUCUAGGGAUAUCGGAUAAUGAAACACGAUGCAAGGGGAGAUGCUACUCGCAAAAACUCAGCUUGUGCUUUAUGCUUGUUGUCUGCAGCCUGUUAGCAGCCCACUUACCUGCUGCUGCGAACUACACUUGACCCUUGCUGAGUUUUAAUCCAUAGAAAACCAUGCGCGUCAAAAAGAGUGGAUUGGUGACUAUAAUCUGCCGUUUAGAUUUAAAAGUGUUACUGUGUCAGACCAAUGGAAGCAGCUCUCCGAAUUUAUUUGGGUCAAUCGAAACACAUCAUUUAUCAGGUGCAUGAUCAUAGCAUGCUUGCCGAAAAAACCCAGAACACUCCCAUUUCAAUUUCAAGGCUGGCUUCAGUAAGGAAAAGAAGCAAGGGCAUAUACAACCACAUUUGCUACUGCAAAUUAUCCAUCGCUUAAUCAGUCAUAGGAGAAAAACCACAACUUGGAUUACUUGAGUCAGCUGCAGUUCGUGUAAAUUUAUUACGUGUGCCUUUUCCAAUGUAAACAAUAUAUGCAGUGUAUAUGUAUAUAUCUCUACAUAUAUAUGCCUAACUAAACAUCUUGCAUACUCUGCAAACCCGCGAGUUACUCUCUGCCACUCGGAGUUCACCAUAAGUAUUACUAAGAUUAUGUAAUCACUUUGUGGAAUAUAUGUACCCAUGUA